UCUGCUGGUGACCUUACAGUGAAGAAGUGUAGUUCCCAGUGGUUGGUUAUCUUCGUGUAUUGUCUGUUGGCUUAGGGCCAGAACUGUAUGGCUAAUGCAAUCAGUAUUGGUUCGGCGUGCUCCGCGUUAAGACGUCGCCUUUGACUUCCUGUCUGGUGUGGGCGCUGUGAGAAGUAUUUGAUCAGCGUAGUAGUGAUCUCUCUACCUGUGCAUCCAGGAUUAUUUCAAAAGCAACACAACAUUAGUGAACGUUUCCUGUUUUUAAAUCGAGUUAAGUGUCUAUAAACACCUUGAGGCUAACAGACGCACUUCACAGUUCUGCAGAGUUACCAUGGAAACAACUGUUAUGAUCUGCCUGCAUUGCAGAGGGACGUUUGUCUUUGGAGGCUACAGCGUGAGGUUGUCCCAUUUCAUUUUUAAAUGAUGAACAAUGCCUCUGUCCAUCAUCCGUAUACGAACACCACCUCACUCACUGGACCGAGAGCCACAGUAGAUGAAGAAUCCGACGUUUUUCGCCGCACUGUGCUUCUAGAAUGAGUUGUGUUGUUGCUACGUUCAAUGCAGCAUUGUCAGGGUGAUAAGAUCAAGGAGGAUGAGAUGGGCAAAGCAUGUAGCUCGAAUUGGGGCGACGAUAAAUGUAUAUAUAUUUUGGUUCUAAAGUCUUGGGAACAGACCUUGGCGGGUAUAGGCGUAGAGUAUUAAAAUGGGGUUUGGCGAAUGGAUUGGAUUCAUGUGGCCUGUGAAAUUUGAAAAGGAUGGAGCGAGUCUGCCCAGGAACAAAUGGAAGUCCGAGUUUCCACAACAGGUCGUAUAAUGGGACAAAACAAAGCGUGCGGGAAAUCGAGAAACCCUGUGUUAUCACUCGGGGAUUCAGUCCAUAACUUCCACCGGUUUCCUUUGUAGUGGAAUGGAAUGUGUCCCUUUUUCAAGUGAUGUGUUCAUGCGGUAAAUAUAAAAAGAAAUGUUUGUCACAAAGUUCACGACGGAAAUCGAGACGGAAGGUAGAAAAAUCUUACAUAGUCAUAUACCAUUUAUAAGGAUUAAAGGAAAACUUAUCUACGCAAGAACAGUGAAAUAUUGAUCAUUUGCUGUAUUUAGUGAAGUAACAUUACAAAACAGAAGAAAAAUGCUUAUCAGGACAUCUAUACCAGUGGUUUUCAACCUGGGGUACGCGUACCCCCGGGGGUAUGCGAAGACAU